AAUCUACGCAUCAUAUAGUGCCUAGUCACCUUCCAAACACGCAUAGAAGACAAAACAAUCAGCUGAACAUGGUGGUGCAUGCCUAAGAGGCUGAGGCAGGAGGAUUUCUACCAUCUAACCACAUUUCCUGGAUCAGGAUCUCAUAAGGCUGAUACCAAGGUGUCAGCUCUACUGAAUUCUCACCUGGAGGCUCCACUGGAGCAAAUCCACUGCUAUAGUUUAGAUCUAAAAUAUUCCCUAAAACUAUUGGUUCAAAGGUAAGGCUUUUGGAAAGUAAUUAUGUCAUAGGAGUGCUAGACUUAUCAGUGGAUCCAUGCAUUGAUGAGUUCAUAGUUGAAUGUGCUGUAAGGUGAGGCCUGGUCAGAACAGGUAAAUCACUGGGGGCAUGAUCUGGAA
ensembl:lncRNA